AUGGAUGACGGCAAUCUAACCUUCAUGACCUGGAACGUUAGAGGUUUGAACUGCCCGACAAAAUGCACGGUCGUCAGCGACGUAGCCUCCUCCCAUAGAGUAGCAGUGCUCUGUUUACAGGAAGCUAAGAUCGACACUUGGAUGACUGCGGUAGCUAGCGAGAUAGGAGGUAGCAGAUUGCAGGGGUGUGUGGUGCUGCCGGCAACGGGGACUAGAGGGGAUGCAACGAUUUUUUGGGACAAGGAUGUAGUCGACGUAGCUUCGCACUACCUGGGUAGUUUCUCCAUUAUGGCUAGGGUGCACGAAAGGAGUUCAGGGAAGGUUUUUUGGAUGACCACGGUCUACGGCCCAACUGAUGAUGCGCAAAAAGAAAGCUUCCUAUCGGAGAUAGCUGGUGCCGCCCCUCCUGCUGACGAGCCGUGGAUGAUCAACGGUGACUUCAACAUGAUAUAUCAAGCGCGAGACAAGAGCAACUCCAACAUAAAUAGAAGGAUGAUCGGGAAGUUUCGUCUAGCCAUUGAUUUAGCAGGGCUCAAGGAAGUCAAGUGCAAAAACCGGCAUUUCACUUGGAGUAAUGAGAGAGAAAGCCCUACCAAGCCCAGUCCAUAG
rnacentral:rRNA from 1 species